UACGGAGGGUGCAAGCGUUAUCCGGAUUCACUGGGCUUAAAGGGAGCGUCGGCGGAUUGGUAAGUCAGUGGUGAAAUCUGUGGGCUUAACCCACAAACUGCCAUUGACACUGCUGAUCUAGAGUACAGUUGCCGUUGGCGGAAUAUGACAUGUAGUGGUGAAAUACUUAGAUAUGUCAUAGAACACCGAUUGCGAAGGCAGCUAACGAAGCUGUAACUGACGCUGAGGCUCGAAAGUGCGGGGAUCAAACAGG
rnacentral:rRNA from 1 species